CAAAUCAAAGAGUGUUGGGGUCUUUUUAAGGUGCUCUCCAUGUUAUUUUAUGGGAUUCGAUGUGGGGUUGCAGGGGAAUGGCUGCUUCAACAAAAACUUGCUGCUGCUACAAAGAUUGGGUGAGGCCGCUGUAAUAAAUCCCCAGCUUGUUGCAACUGACUUUAUGUCUGUGUACAGCAAACAACGUCAUCCUUGCACCCAGCUCUUUAGGGAGCAGCCUCUGGAUUUGGCUAAAAGUAGCUGCGGUUGCUGACUUGAAGAGUCUUUGCAGGGAUCUUUGGAAAUGGGACAGCAAUCCAGAUUUGCAGAGUUGUAGUCAAAGGUGUAUUUCCUUGCCUGAAGGAUGAGGAAUAACAAGGUCAGCAGGAAAUCCUCCUUGAACCCUCACCUCUGCAUGAGGCCUGAUGCUUCAGGGGUGUCCUCAUCCAUUUCCUUAAGGCCGGGGAGCUACUUUUAACUUAUAUCAGCUUAACACAGAUCAAAUUUGGGAUGGAUAUGUCAAUCAAUCCACAGACCACUGUCCUGAUGAGGAAUGAGUUGCUCAGACCUGCUUGUGCUCAUUUCAUACACCGAGAUAAUCACCUUGCAUGCAGUGCUUUCUCUCAUCGUCACUUCAGAAGCUCGGCGUGUUACCUCCCUCCCUUCGGGACGGCCUCAGCCGCGGCUGUGCUGCCACACUCUGACCUCUCCAGCGAAAUACGUUUGACCCGAAAUAAAAUGGAUGAGAGAGGGGAAGGAGGCAGCCAAACGCAGCAGGUUCCCACUCGCUUGGUCUUUGCCAGAUGGGCACGUGGCCACCGCUUGUCCAUCGAAGGUGUCCUCAAGGAUGUCACGGAGGCAACCGCGCCUUGUGGUCUGGUGCACCAGGAAGGCUAGAGGUGGCUGGCCAUGCCAUUUCUCAGCGCCGGGUGAAGCAUGGAUGCAGGGCACGACUCCAUCCGUGGAAGCCAGGAGGGGAUGGCACCAGAUCGCCUCUGGUUGUGAUUUUGUGUCAGGCAGUGAUAACCAAAAGAAGAGGAUAGGAAAACAUGCCAAUCUCGGGAGGAAUGAAGAACAAGGAAAAAAAAAAAGCAGGCAUCGGACUCUCCCUGCUGAGCGCCAUUGACCACUGAAUUCAGAGAGCUCCCACAAGGUCAGACUUGUGAUUUAUUUCAUACUGGGGAUACCAUUUGGGGCAAUACACCAAGGAGAAGUGUGCUAUAUUGACAAGCUGUGCUGAUGCUUUAAAGCUUAAGGUGUUGCUGAUUUCCAGCCUGCUGGGUAAAGAGGCUAAGAUUUUGUGCUUCGUUUCAAUCGUGAUUACAGCACGAUGGGCUGAUGGUCUUUCUGAGGUUGCUUCUUCACAAGAGUCACUGUUUUUUAUCUUUCUCAUGUAUAUCAGCCACGUAACUGUUUGGAAAUAGCCUUUAGAAAUGAGAAUGAAGGAAAACUGCAAAGAUUAGUACUUGAACACUUGUAUGGACUAUCUCUGUAAGUCCUGGAGUUGUCUGCACCUUCACCACUGCCAAAUCCCAAGCUGAAGGGGGCAAGAGCAUUUCUGGAAGCCCCAGCUCUGGGAUUCCUGCAAUUCUUGCUUUCCAUUAAAAGAACAGGUUUCCAGCUGCUGUGAUUGCAAAGAAAAGGUUGAAAAUGUAAGCCUAAGUAUGCAAAAGCAACAGAUGCAACUAUAAAAAAUAUGAUUUUUUUUUCCAUUUAGUCCUGUUUUGAACUACUCCUCCUUUCUCCAGGCAGCUGAUUCAUUCUUUUGAAUAGAUUGUGUUGGCAAUACUGUGUUUUUGUUCCCCAAGGGAUAACUUCAGAGCUUUGCUUUCAAAACCACUUUGCCCAGUUUAGACAUCUCUUAGAAAAACUAAAUGAGAAGGAAUUUGUAAGAAAAAUUAAUGAUCUGCUACAUAAAUUUUUCACAACCUCGCACACGGAUGGAGUGGGUUUGUAGAGUUACAGAACUGCGGUGACUAAUAAUAGUAAUAAAGGGUCUGAUUGUAUCAUGUGGUUAAAGAUAGUCAUAAUACUCUAAUUGUCUUUGCAGUUUUCCCACUCCUUGCUGUGACAUCAGCCCAUCCCCAGACCAUUACAUCCUGCUCAUGGCUCUUCUUUGUUGAUAAAUAAUGAGUCAUUAUAUGCCUCGCUCUAUGACUUGCACAGCUGUAUUGCCAAAUUUUCCUCUCUGCAGAAUGAAUCCCCCUUUCCAAGGGGGAUUUAGUGUGCCUUUAAAAUGGCAAAGUUUAUCUGGCAACACACGUGCCCUUUAGCAGAGGAUGGACUGGGUGAAAUAAGGCUCUUGCUGGAUGUUUCGCACUGGGAGAAGGCUCACCUACAGUAAACUGUACGUUUUUAUUAAUGACUAAACACUGCCACUUUGCAAGCCACCACGUGCCAGGAUUGGAGCUGGGAAAUCCCAGGGCUGGGAUUUCUGUGGACUUCCUUGUAGGGCAUAUCGAAGCCAAAGACUCCAGAGCCCUGCUGUGACUCAGGCAUCUGAACUGCAUGCUGUAUCUCAGGAUGCUUAUGUGUAAACAGAUACACAAGGACAUUACAUGUUUUAUCCACAAACACAAAACUGAAUUGGUAAUACUGAAAUCAAAACUUGUUCUACAGCCUGUUGCUAGCUACGUGACAAUUAGGAAGCUCUCCUAAAAAAUCUUGACAUGAAGUCUAAAACAGAUACUAAUAUGUAUUAAAAAGCACAAGAAAGAGUUACAGUAUUUUCCAAAAUGACAAAAAUACUUAGCACCCUUUGCUUUGACACUGAGAACAUUCAAGAAUGAAGGCUGUGUGAAGCCUGGCACUUUAAAUAGUGGAUUUGCGUAGUGGGAAGAUAGUGGUUUUCUUUCAUUCUAAUUUAAAAAUAUGAUCAAGCGUGUGGCACAGCAAACUUGCAGUG